AGCUACCGCUAUUGGAGUUCGAUUAAGCCAUGCGAGUCGAGAGUCUUAGGGACUCGGCGUACCGCUCAGUAACACGUGGGUAACCUGCCCUAUGCUGGGGAAUAACCUCGGGAAACUGAGAAUAAUGCCCCAUAGUCCACCAUGCCUGGAACGGUUGGUGGAUCAAAGCCCCGGCGGCAUAGGAUGGGCCUGCGGCGUAUCAGGUUGUAGGGGGUGUAACGUACCCUCUAGCCAUCAACGCGUACGGGUGUUGGGAGACAUAGCCCGGAGAUGGAUUCUGAGACACGAAUCCAGACCCUACGGGGUGCAGCAGGCGCGAAGACUUGGCAAUGCGAGAAAUCGUGACCAGGGAACUCCAAGUGGCUGGGGUAAGACCCAGUCUUUUCUUGACUCUUCAAAGGUCUUGGAAUAAGGGGUGGGUAAGGACGGUGCCAGCCGCCGCGGUAAUACCGGCGCCUCAAGUGGUAGUCGAUUUUAUUGGGUCUAAAACGUCCGUCGCCUGUUUGGUACAUUCGUGGGUAAAUCAACCAGCUCAACUGGUUGAAUUCUGCGAGCACGGCCAGACUUGGGACCGGGAGAGGUGUGGGGUACGUUCAGGGUAGGGGUAAAAUCCUGUCAUCCUAAACGGACCACCUGUUGCGAAGGCUCCACACUAGAACGGAUCCGACGGUCAGGGACGAAGCCUAGGGGCACGAACCGGAUUAGAUACCCGGGUAGUCCUAGGUGUAAACGCUGUGGACUUGGUGUUGGGGACUCUCCGAGACUCCUCAGUGCCGAAGCGAAGGUGAUAAGUCCACUGCCUGGGGAGUACGGUCGCAAGGCUGAAACUUAAAGGAAUUGGCGGGGGAGCACCGCAACCUGAGGAUUGUGCGGUUU
rnacentral:rRNA from 1 species